rnacentral:lncRNA from 1 species
UUGAGGGGCUUGGUCAAUGUGUGCUGAGGUGGUCUGGAGAAGAGUGCAGAUCCUACCCAUCCCUGUACCUGGGAGGGGGGCAGGGGGAAGUGGUGCCAGUGCCAGGGGACAUCUUUAGUCAUUGUGGGCUGUAAGGAAUGACAGACAACACAGAGGACUUAGGCAGUGUCCGAAAGAUGGCUACCAGGAAUGCUUGUGCCUGGGACUGGUUGUCUUCUGCAAAUGCCGUGCUUGGGAGGCUCAGACUGAACAAGCGACUUCAACAAGGUCACACAGCAAACAGGGACUCAAACAAAACCUUAAGUCUCUUACCAGCAGUAGGAGUUGGCUCUGCCAUCCGACAGAUUCAUGGCAGAGUACCACGAGGCAACUCCCAGUCCCCAGAGUCAUCUUACCUCUCCCAGCCCAUGAGCUUCUGUGUCUAAGUCUUUACCCAAACCGUCUCCCGCCCCCAAGGCCCCUCCUGUAUUUUCACCUGCAACCCAACUACCAUUAAAAUCAACACUCAUGCCUACCUUGUUUCCUGGGAACCUUCACAGCACCCAGCCAAGGCU